GAGAAGCAAAAUCCUAUGCUGGGGCAAUGGUCGACACGAAACUUUACGAUUCGGUGCCAAAUCAACGGCAUCAGAAUACGAAAGAAAACUGUUGCGAAUUGUUUUGUAAAGAUUAUGACACACAAAGAAUGGACAAAAACUCGAUUGCGACCAAAGACGUCGUCACGGAUGAGGUUUAUUACAUAAAGGAAGAGUUUUUGAGUCUGAAAGGGCGCAACUACACGGCUGACGACAUUGCAUGGACGUGGAAGAAAGACUGCAGAAUGUGGAUGUGGAAAAAUGAUGUUGAUUUCAAGAAGAACAGAUCGGUGGCAGAAAUGAAAAAAUCCACUUGAAACGACUAUUUUAUUUAGUAGCAAAAUAUAAAUUACUGACAAGUUUCUAUUAA